rnacentral:rRNA from 1 species
UGAGGAAUAUUGGUCAAUGGGCGAGAGCCUGAACCAGCCAAGUAGCGUGCAGGAUGACGGCCCUAUGGGUUGUAAACUGCUUUUAUAUGGGAAUAAAGUGAGGGACGUGUCCCUUAUUGCAUGUACCAUACGAAUAAGGACCGGCUAAUUCCGUGCCAGCAGCCGCGGUAAUACGGAAGGUCCAGGCGUUAUCCGGAUUUAUUGGGUUUAAAGGGAGCGUAGGCUGUUUGUUAAGCGUGUUGUGAAAUGUAAGAGCUCAACUUUUAGAUUGCAGCGCGAACUAGCAGACUUGAGUGCGCACAACGUAGGCGGAAUUCAUGGUGUAGCGGUGAAAUGCUUAGAUAUCAUGACGAACUCCGAUUGCGAAGGCAGCUUACGGGAGCGCAACUGACGCUAAAGCUCGAAGGUGCGGGUAUCGAACAGG